GUUUGCACUCAUCGGGGAAGGGUGAGAACCUUCGACUAAGGUUCGACUCGAGCGCCAGCGAGAGAGCGUUGCCGCAGGCAACGACCUGAAGGGCGAAGCGCGCAGCGCUGAGUAAUCCUUCCCCCACCACCA
rnacentral:sRNA from 1 species